rnacentral:pre_miRNA from 1 species
CUUUGGUCAUCUGGCUUUGUGAUAGAGAAAUUAUCAUCGUAAAGCUAAAUUACCAAAGUGC